CCCUUGAGGCUGAAGUACAUGAUUCCAUGCUUCCAAGAAAAGCAUCUAGAGAGAGAAGUAGUGCCCGUACCGCAAACCGACACAGGUAGAUGAGGAGAGAAUCCUAAGGCCGGCGGAAGAAUUGCAGUUAAGGAACUAGGCAAAUUGACCCCGUAAGUUAGCGAGAAGGGGUGCCUGCGAGAGCAGGCCGCAGAGAAUAGGCCCAAGCAACUGUUUAGCAAAAACACAGGUCUCUGCUAAAGCGCAAGCUGAUGUAUAGGGGCUGACGCCUGCCCGGUGCUGGAAGGUUAAGGGGAACACUUAGCGCAAGCGAAGGUGUGAACUUAAGCCCCAGUAAACGGCGGCCGUAACUAUAACGGUCCUAAGGUAGCGAAAUUCCUUGUCAGGUAAGUUCUGACCCGCACGAAUGGCGUAAUGACUUGGGCACUGUCUCAACUGCAAAUCCGGCGAAGUUGUAGUGCGAGUGAAGAUGCUCGCUACCCGCGAUUGGACGGAAAGACCCCGUAGAGCUUUACUGUAGCUUAGCAUUGAAUUCCGGUAUUGUCUGUACAGGAUAGGUGGGAGACUGGGAAACUAGGGCGUCAGCCUUAGUGGAGUCGUCCUUGGGAUACCACCCUGACAGUACUGGGGUUCUAACAGGACGCCAUGAAUCUGGUGACUGGACAUUGUUAGGUGGGCAGUUUGACUGGGGCGGUCGCCUCCUAAAAAGUAACGGAGGCGCCCAAAGGUUCCCUCAGAACGGUCGGAAAUCGUUCGUAGAGUGCAAAGGCAGAAGGGAGCCUGACUGCGAGACCUACAAGUCGAGCAGGGACGAAAGUCGGGCUUAGUGAUCCGGUGGUACCUCGUGGGAGGGCCAUCGCUCAACGGAUAAAAGCUACCUCGGGGAUAACAGGCUGAUCUCCCCCAUGAGUCCACAUCGACGGGGAGGUUUGGCACCUCGAUGUCGGCUCGUCGCAUCCUGGGGCUGUAGUAGGUCCCAAGGGUUGGGCUGUUCGCCCAUUAAAGCGGCACGCGAGCUGGGUUCAGAACGUCGUGAGACAGUUCGGUCCCUAUCCGUCGCGGGCGUAGGAAAUUUGAGAGGAGCUGUCCUUAGUACGAGAGGACCGGGAUGGACUGACCUCUGGUGCACCAGUUGUUCUGCCAAGAGCAUGGCUGGGUAGCUAAGUCGGGAAGGGAUAAACGCUGAAAGCAUCUAAGCGUGAAGCCUCCCCCAAGAUGAGAUUUCCCAUAGCAUGAGCUAGUAAGACCCCUUGAAGAACACGAGGUUGAUAGGUCAGAGGUGUAAGUGUGGUAACAUAUUUAGCUGACUGAUACUAAUAGGUCGAGGGCUUGACCG
rnacentral:rRNA from 1 species